UACGUAGGGUGCAAGCGUUUGUCCGGAAUUAUUGGGCGUAAAGAGCUUGUAGGCGGUUUGUCGCGUCUGCUGUGAAAUUUCGGGGCUCAACCCCGAACUUGCAGUGGGUACGGGGCAGACUAGAGUGUGGUAGGGGAGACUGGAAUUCCUGGUGUAGCGGUGAAAUGCGCAGAUAUCAGGAGGAACACCGAUGGCGAAGGCAGGUCUCUGGGCAUUAACUGACGCUGAGGAGCGAAAGCAUGGGGAGCGAACAGG
rnacentral:rRNA from 1 species